rnacentral:misc_RNA from 1 species
GAGGCAUCGUCCACAAGCUUCCUCAAAACCUGAGCAGAAAUCUCCUCAGCAGCAAACUGCUUGCCAAUUGCAGGGCAAUCCAACUUAACAUUUCCAUUCUCAUCCCUAAAUACUUUAUAAGAAACCUGCUUUGACUCUUCAUCCACUUCAGACAUCUUUCUGCCAAUAAACCUCUUCACAGAGAAGAAAGUAUUCUCUGGGUUCACCACUGCCUGCCGCUUUGCAAUCUGCCCCACAAGCCUAUCCCC